UACGUAGGGUGCGAGCGUUGUCCGGAAUUAUUGGGCGUAAAGAGCUCGUAGGCGGUCUGUCGCGUCGGUCGUGAAAACCUGCAGCUUAACUGUGGGCGUGCGGUCGAUACGGGCAUGACUGGAGUUCGGCAGGGGAGACUGGAAUUCCUGGUGUAGCGGUGAAAUGCGCAGAUAUCAGGAGGAACACCGGUGGCGAAGGCGACACGCUGGGCCGUACCUGACACUAAAACGCGACAGCAUGGGGAGCGAACGGG
rnacentral:rRNA from 1 species